rnacentral:rRNA from 1 species
GAUGAACGCUGGCGGCGUGCCUAAUACAUGCAAGUCGAGCGAACAGACGAGGAGCUUGCUCCUCUGACGUUAGCGGCGGACGGGUGAGUAACACGUGGAUAACCUACCUAUAAGACUGGAUAACUUCGGGAAACCGGAGCUAAUACCGGAUAAUAUAUUGAACCGCAUGGUUCAAUAGUGAAAGACGGUUUUGCUGUCACUUAUAGAUGGAUCCGCGCCGCAUUAGCUAGUUGGUAAGGUAACGGCUUACCAAGGCAACGAUGCGUAGCCGACCUGAGAGGGUGAUCGGCCACACUGGAACUGAGACACGGUCCAGACUCCUACGGGAGGCAGCAGUAGGGAAUCUUCCGCAAUGGGCGAAAGCCUGACGGAGCAACGCCGCGUGAGUGAUGAAGGUCUUCGGAUCGUAAAACUCUGCUAUUAGGGAAGAACAAAUGUGUAAGUAACUAUGCACGUCUUGACGGUACCUAAUCAGAAAGCCACGGCUAACUACGUG